rnacentral:rRNA from 1 species
GACGAACGCUGGCGGCAUGCCUAAUACAUGCAAGUCGAGCGAACAGAUGAAGUGCUUGCACUUCUGACGUUAGCGGCAAACGGGUGAGUAACACGUAAGGAAUCUACCUAUAAGCGGGGGAUAACAUUCGGAAACGGGUGCUAAUACCGCAUAAUAUCUUCUUCCGCAUGGAAGAAGAUUGAAAGACGGCUCUGCUGUCACUUAUAGAUGACCUUGCGGUGCAUUAGUUAGUUGGUGGGGUAAUGGCCUACCAAGACGAUGAUGCAUAGCCGACAUGGAAGGGUGAUCGGCCACAUGGCGACGGUGACCCGGCCCGAACUCCUACGGGAGGCAGCAGUAGGGAAUCUUCCGCUAUGGGCGAAAGCCUGACGUAGCAAUGCCGCGUGAGUGAAGAUGGCCUUCGGGUCGUAAAUCUCUGUUAUAAGAGAAGAACAAAUUGUAGAGUAACGGCUACAGUCUUGACGGUAUCUUAUCAGAAAGCCACGGCUAACUACGUGCCAGCCGCCGCCGUAA